GGGGGCUAAGAGCUUACUGAUAAGUUGAAAGCAGCCUAAACGCAUGAUGGACAGACAAUUUUGGUAUCCAAUUGGCCAAAGGAGACGUCCAUCAAGGGGAGAGGGGCGUUCCCAUUCGGAGGGUCGUGAAGAGCGAACCCGAGUAAAGGUGGCGGGAGGUCACCGAGAGAUGAGUGGGCGGGACAUAUUUGUAAGACGGACUGACCACUUCGGCACCUCAUAGACAGUGGAAGAUGCCAAUCAAGAUGCUGCCAGAACCUGAUGAGCCUGUCCAGCAUUCUCUAUGUUUGUUACCUCCCGAAAGAACAUACGUGGACCAUAAUCCAAAAUCUUCAUGGUCACUGUGCUAAUAAUAGCAUGGUGGCUUAAAACUGAAUUAAAAUUCUCAAAACUUCAUGCAUCUUAUGGAAUUGUCGAACUGUUGGAAAUAACAGUUUUUAUUUAUCCUGUACUCGACUGUGGUAACCAGUGGCGGCAGUGGUAUAUUAUAGUUCACUCAAAGUCUGAGUUGCCACAAUAAUAUACACUUUUGAAUGCACCUCCUUUGGACAUCAGGUCCUCAGGUAGAUUUGUAAUUCAGUGUCACAAACAGUGGAGUGAUAAUGGGAACUGCAGAUGCUGUAGAAACCUAGGCCCUCUCUGAUGAAGGGUCUAGGCCCAAAACGUCAGCUUUUGUGCUCCUGAGAUGCUGCUUGGCCUGCUGUGUUCAUCCAGCUCCACACUUUGUUAUCCCACAAACAGUGGAAUUGUGUUGGAAUGCAAGUGGCUUGGAUGACCACAGAAUCUUGUUCAGACAGAAUUUCAGCAUGAAUGGCCCUAUCUUGUGGAAUACCCUGUGACUCACCUACUGCCUGCUCUCAGUACCAACCAUACUAGGACAAGGCCCAAUCGUCAGUUCGUCACAGUGUCACAUUUGCUCCCAGACAAGGGAAAGAUUAGACUAAUAGGCUUCUCCAUUGCUGAAGAAAGGAUCAUGUUACUGAUUCUUUUUUUUUGCCCUGCACCUAUCAGGACAAAUGCAAGAAUGCCAAAGUUUAAACAAUUGCAGCAAUUUAUACUGCAGGAGAAAAAGGUGCUGAUUAAUUGGCAAGUUGACUCUGAUUGGCCAGGGCAAUACCAUUGAGAAAGCUAUAGAUUCCUCAAGCUCUGGCAGCACAUUUCUCUUUCAGGAACCGUUGAGCUCUGCAUCACUAAACACACCUUUCUUGUAAACCAUUAAAUUAAGAGAACAGGAAAAGUAUCAUGGGACAAAGUAAAAAUGGAUGAGGUUCUAGAAGGAACAAGGGCAGAGAUUACUGGAGAAACUCAGCAGGGCUGGCAGCAUUUGUUUCCACAGUUUCUUCCUGCUGAAUUUCUUCAGUGAUUUCUGUCAUUGUUCAUUUCAGAUUUCCAUCGUCCAAAAUUCUUUGAGUUACUUAAGGAAUGAAGCUCAUUUGGACCAUAAAGUCAGCAAAGAUCUA